UGGAACAGUAAUAACACAUUUCGCAGCCCUGCGGUCUAGUGAUCAGAGGUGGUCAUUUUCUUUAUGUAUUGGAGCUUUUUUUGUUUUUUCCAUCAUGAAACUUCAGAUUUAGAGAUGACCGAGCAGAGCAGCAGAGCACCUAUUUGCCUCAGCUGUGAAAACAAAAGACAAGUCCUAUUCUCAGAGAAUCACAUCAGAGUACAAAUACAUCCUUGGGCAACGAAUGCUACAGUAAGACAGGCUUGUUGCAGUGGGGUUGGCGUGUGUCAGUAACGAAAUACAACAGAUAAAAAUGACUCACUCCAAACUUUAUAAAGUCACGUAACUUUUAAGCAGCGCUACAAAACUUGUAACGUGACGAAGGUGUUGCUGUACAGAGCUGACAGGACACUUUAUAAUGGAAACUAAUGUUACUAUGGUAACCAUUCCUUAAAUGCAGAAGCUGUGGUGAUGAGAGCGAACAAGCAUUCAAACUCACAAGCAGCUCUGCUGCUGUAAGCUGUUGUCAUGUAAUGUAAAGGGCACCCAUUGUAAAGCUUAAAAUGAUGCCGCAGUUGUGGAAGCAUCAUCUUUCCAUGAGGUCAUCAAACAGUUGGAGUUUUCAGUUUGUUUGUUUUUUUAAAGAGUGGACAUUUCCAUGACUCAGCUUUGGUUAGAAAUGAAGUGGACACUUUUCUUUUUUUGUCAGUGUAGUCUGAAAAAGGUUACAUUUACAGGAGGGCAAUCUUUCAAAGAUCUUAUAGGAGUCUAAAAGUGUCAGUUAAGGGUUUUCCAAAAUGUUCAAACACAUCCACUUGUUUUUUCAUACAUCAAAUACAUUUUAAUGUAACUGCUCCAGACAGACAUUAAGUUCAGAAGUCACUAUUUUAGUGCUGAAAAUGUGAGAUUUCUAAUUUAUUUAGAAAACAAACAGCUGGUUCAGAUGGUUGGACAAAAACAAGCAUCGCAAAUGAUUCCUUUGGUUUGAUGGGCUUGAAGAUUACUUCUGAUUUUUGCUACUGGUGGGAUUUAAAAUUCCUGAAAACAUGUGUUAAUAGCAACUAUCACAGCCCUAAAUAACUCUGAUACUGUAACAGGAGGAUCUAUAUUUAGGUGGCGUCAGGCCACACACAGUGGUUUGUCACACUGGGCCUAUUGUGUCAUCAGUCCAUCAGCUUCAUUUGCAUGACAGGGAACAGGAAGACACUCGCAGCGUGUCCACACCCUACAGGUCGACCCUUGCUUUUUAAACAUCUGUGCGUGCACACAUGAUUUAUUCUCUUACUCUUUAUGUUUUUAUGAAAUAUAAACAUAUGAAUGGUCAGAAAACAUCUUUACAUUAUUUACAAAGUGACCAGCAGAGUUUGACUUUGAUGUGAUGGAAGGCAGUAAAGUUUCUACUCUCCUUUUACAAUCAAGGAGCUUCUACUGGUGAUUGAUUGGCUACAUUAAGCUUUAAGGCAAUGCACUGUUGAGAGUGUUGUUUCCAUCAAGGCAAUGGCACAAUGUAUUCUAAAAGGCAAGUGGUGCAAAGUGGACGGCGGUGCUGCACUUACAUGAUGUUUACAUUACUUUUUAUUUUCUGAAAUAUGAAGAACUUCCAACAUCUGAAAAGCAAAGACCGUCGUUUGUCAGCUCCUGCUGCUGUACUGAAGAUUUUUACUGAAUCCUUAAAAGCUCAUCAAACCAUCUGAAUUUACAAACAGCUAAUACUUCAUUUGGAGAAACAUUUGGUUUGGUUGCACUACAGAAAUAAACAAAAAGUAUUAGCGCACACCUCAGAAAUCUCAGUUUGUGUUUCCAUGUCCAAGCAGCUCCUGUCAGUGUAAUCUGUAGCUGGUAGUUUUGUCCAUAUAAUGCAUAUACUAUAACAUUAUAUCAUCUUAGCAUGUUUAUGUUCAAUUUGUGUGAUGUAGAAGAAAAUGUAUAACCUCUGCCAGCUGUUUUUGUUCACACUGGUGCAACAAAGUAUCUAAUCUAUUUUUGAGUUUGUCAUUCGUGAACCAUACUUUUGUCCUAGAGUCAUUUUUGACUGAACGAAGAGAAAAAUGGAGUCGCAGCCUGAGAAACUCUCUGAACAUCUUAUUCUGAGUGUUUUUAAAUGCUUGAAAU
ensembl:lncRNA